UAUUUAAAAAAUUAUCACAUAUCACAACUUACAGAAUAUAAAUGAAGUAUAAAUCAGUUGGCUUUUAUAGCCUUAAGUUUUUAUAUUAGAAAAAACAAGGCUGAAAUUAAUGUGUUACAUAUCCAACUUUUAAGUUAAAAAACAUAAGCUAUAGAAUAAACCUAAAGAAAGUAGAGAUAGGUUUUAAUAAGGAGGCAUUGCCUCUGAAGCCUGACUGUCUGCAUAUGAAUCUCAGCUUUCCCUUUUAAUAGUUCUUCGACCUUGGGCAAGUAACAUAAGCUCUUCAAUUUCCUCAUCUAUAAUGUAUGGGUGAUAGUAAUAGCACCUGCCUUGCAGAGGUGUGGUAAGAAUUGAGUGAGUAAAUACAUAAAAGAUACAGGACUCCAGGACUUUGCUUAGAACUUUGUGGUCAGCCUUUAUUACCACAAGAGCAGAAAUUAAUUAGGAAGAUAUAAAACCCAUCUAAACAAAGUCAAAACUACUUCUUUUAAAAGAGUAAUAAAAUAAAAAAUAAAAGAGUAAUAAAAUCAACAUACCCCUUCCACUACUGGUUAGGAAAACAGAGAGAAGGCCAAAUUGACAAUGUUCAUAAAGAACAAAUAGAACAUGAAGGAGUGACCAUACACAGCUCUUUUGACAGCUUUACUAUGAAGGGUAUCAUACAAAAUGGGGCAAUACCUGGAGAAGGCAUGUUGGAACCAACUGGAACUUUAAAACUGUCUUUUUUUGUGUGUGUGGGCUAGGUCAAGGGAAGUUUGUAUGCAGGUGGCAGAGAUCCAGCUGAACAAGAAUGUGCUGAAUCCCCUGAGAGGUCAAGGAAAGCAGUGAUUCACAGGAGAGUGGACAGAGGCCAGGGAAGAUAAAUUAUUUAUAAGUGAGACCAGGUUUAUAAAAAAUCAUAUUCCACGAGACUCUCUUUUUUAAAGAAAAGACUGCUUUUGCCAGAGAAAGAAGUGUUAAUUUGGGAACUAGUGAUGUUAUCAGGAGCCAAAUCUCUGCUUGGCGCUCUGCUGAGAAGAACACAAUGAUUAACAAGGAUCCUGCUUAUUCUCUUAACAUUGGAAUCCUCCUUGUCCUCCCUGUUCUCAUCCUCCUGAUGUCAGUAACAACCUCACAAUUCUGUGACCUCACUGUGACAAGAAGCAAAAAGUAAGUUAUUUUUAUUUAUUUUUAUUGUAAGCUUUAUCAAAGUAAUAUGCAGGUUAUGUGAAAAGA
rnacentral:lncRNA from 12 species